AAAUGUACAAUAAUUAUUAUUUAAUCUUUCUUAAUAAGAGAAAAAAGUUUUUUAACACUUAAAAAAAUUUUAUUCUUGUCAUUCCUGUAAACAAAUAAAAUUGGUUUGACAUGUAUAGUACAUUUUUGUAUAGUAUAUACGUUUUAAAAUGCCAUCAUGACAUUGCAGAUUUUUACUCCUCUACUUAAGUAAUAAGGUAUCAAGCGAGAUAAUAAAGUUUUCGUUUUCAACAUUUUGGUAUUUCAUUUUUUUUAACAGAAAAGUUUUUGGUUAUUUCGUGUUUACGAACAGGUAUUUACGAAUGAAAUCAUUUCUGUUGUAUGAGUUUAUUGAAAUAGAUGUGUAUUAUCGCCGGAAGCGUUUAAAUGUACAUAUUUACGGGAAAAAUAUUUAUUUUUUAACAUUAGUUUCGUGUUUCGAUACAUUUUAAUAUAAGACAAGUUUUUGAAGUACUUACUUGUACAAACCUACAUAAAAUACAAUAUUUAUAAAAAAUAAAACAUAUUUUUAAAAGUGAUUUUGUUGUGAUUAUGUAAAUAUCAUUGUAUGUACACUGCCGUUAAUAUUUUUAUUUUAUAUCGCAAAUAUUUGAAAAUUUUGUAUUGAUAACGAUCAUAAGAAUUUUCUACGUAUGGAUUAAUGGCUGAAAGCCCCUUCAAUAUUUAACACAUAAUUAGAUUUAGUUGUCUUUAGUGAACUUUGAUCGCACAAUUUUAGUUGGAAAAUUGUGCUAUUUGUUCUAGCAUUCAUAAAAUUAAAUAAUAUGUUAGUUGAUAACAAUAGCAAUCAAUCAGUAAUACAGUAAUUAUAAAGCAUUUGCUAUAAAUGAGACCAACCAUUUCAAAUUGUAAAAUUAUAAACAAGCAAAUAAAAAAAGAACACAAAGUAGGUGUAAAGAAUAUAAUACACAGAAUGCCACAGAGUAUAGAACAUAAUAGAGAGACAACUAAUAUCCCUUAUCCAACACAUUCAAAUCAACAUCUCUAUCCUCAUCUUAGUAAUGGAUUUUACAACAAUAAUGUCGGUAGCAAUAAUAUACGUGUUGCAAGACUUGAUUGUGGAUUUUCAAAUUCUCAUAUGGAUACUGAAGGUAUACGCGCAGCAAAUUGAGAUUUUUAAAUACAAUUUUAAAUCUUAUUAAUUAAAUGAACAUAAGAAAUAACUAGAAUUAACGAAUUCUUAAAAUGGCGGUUAAUUAAAUCGAGAAAUUUGAAAAGCUUGUUGGUUCGGAGAAUUGGCUAACAUGGAGUAUUGCUAUGGAAACGCAAUCACGAUUCGAAAACCUGUGGAAAUAUGUAGAUGUUGUCUUGGAAAACUACAAACCUGAAGAAGAUGAAAAAGCAAGAUGCCGUGUAAUUUUAUCUUUGGAUAAGUCACUUUAUGUCUAUGUUAGAGGUUGCGAAAAGACAUGCCAUGUAUGGAAAGCUCUUAAGGAUUCGUUCCAGGAUUCAGAUGAUGAAUGGUUUGGCUGUUUUAGUUGUAAACAGACGAAAACGUAUAGACCGAUGAUAAAGUCUCAUGGAAGCUGUGGUACGAAAAUAACAGCUGAUUCAAUCAAGAUGAAAUUACUUCAUGGAAGUCAUGUCGCUUGGUAGAAAGUUCUUGUCAUGCAUUAGUAACCAAGAAAACGUUUCAAAAAAAGCAAAAAGAAAAUGAAUCCGAACGCAAAUAUUUUGGAUGCAGUGGCUUAGGACAUUUUAUUCCUUAGAGGUUGCGAAAAGACAUGCCAUGUAUGGAAAACUCUUAAGGAUUUGUUCCAGGAUUCAGGUUUGUUACAAAAGCUAUGUUCAAUUAAAUUGGAAGAUUGUUCUUCAAUUGAAGAUUAAGUAUCACAAAUUGUAAUUGCAUCUAAAAAUUGGGAUCAAUUGGUUUUGUUGUAGAUGAUGAAUGGUUUGGCUGUUUUAGUAGGAAACAGCCGAAAACGUAAAGACCGAUGAUAUUUUGGAUGCAAUGGCUUCGGACAUUUUGAAGCUAAUUGUCUAACCACGAAAAAAGAAAAAAAUCAAGAAUAGUACAUCGUUUUAUGCAUUGAGCGGCAGGUAUGUGAAGAAUAAAUUAAAAUACAUUGAUAGUGGUGCUUCGGCACAUAUGACGAAGGAGAAAGAAAUUUGUAAGAAAUUUGAACCAUAUGAAGGUGAGAUAAAAACAGCAGGUGCAAUCAAGGGAUGACAAUGAAAUAAAUGUUUGUGGAGAAUAUGAUAAAUAUGUAAUCCCAGUUAAAAACGUGUUAUAUGCUCCAGACAUAACGGAAAACUUAUUAUCAGUGAGUCAAAUGUGUAGUGGUGGUAAUCGAAUAGUAUUUGAUAAGAAUGGCUUAAAUAUUUUUGGUUCAAAUGGACAAAUGAUUGGAAGUGCUAUAUGUGAGAACGGCAUGUAUAGAUUAAAUUCGCCAAAACCCUAUCAAGCAUUUAAUGCCAGUGGCAAAGACUCAAUGGAAAUAUGGCGUAAACGUUUUACACAUCUCUAUUACGAUGGUUUAAAGCAGCUAAGCGAUGGUAUGGUAAUUGGUUUGGACCUUAAUGUCAACCCUUUGAAUAAAGAGUUAUGCCAAGAAGAAAAGCACAAAAAUGGGAUUCAAAAUCAUGUAAUGGCAUUUUUGUUGGAUAUGGCAUUAACAUUAAAGGUUACGUAUAUAUGAUAUAAAUAAAAAAAGUCGUAACAUGUCGAGACGUUAAAUUCGAUGAAAAUAAAAAAGCUUUUUAUUUAUUACAGAAAAAGGAAAAUAAUAUUAUUUUUUCAGUUGUGACAACACACAGAAGGAAAACGUAUCUACGUAUUCAAAUAAUAUUGAUGAUAAAGAUAAUAAUAAUUCCAUCAUAAGUUCAUUAUCAUUUAAUUCUGUUAAUGAGAAUGAUGUGGGGGAAUCGGAAGAAUCUGACCAAAUAGAGGCAACUAACGAUUCCAAUAAUAUAAAAAACCUUUAGACUCAAGUGAAACUACUGAUUGCCAAAUUGUGGAAACUGAAUGUUGUAAUGAGGGUGCAAUAGGGGAAUCCAUUCCUAGAAGAAGUGAAAGACUAGCCAAUAAAGAAAAAACUUCUUAGAAUUGGUUAAGCUAUUGUGCUGAACUCUCUGAAGAAGAACCAAAUAGUAUUUAAGAAGCACUUUCAUCAAGAUAAAACCAAAAGUGGCAAGAGGAUAUCAACAAGUUCCCAAUGGACAUGUUUUGAAGUUGCAGAAAGCACUUUAUGGAUUGAAACAAGAAAGUCAUAUUUGGAAUAAUAAAUUGAAUGAUGCUGUACAAAAAUAUGGUAUGAAACGUUCUAAACUUGAAAUUACUUUUAUGGCUCUUUAUGCUCCUAUUUACUAACCAUAAUGAUUUUAGUCAAUUAUUUAAAACAAAUUUAAUGGAAAAUUUUAAAAUGAAAUUUUUAGGUGAAGCAAAACGAUGUUUAGGAAUGCGUAUAAUUAAAACUGAUGAACAUAUAACUCUGGAUCAAGAAGAAUAUAUUCUAAACAUGCUAAAAAGUUAUGAAAUGGAAAAUUGUUAUCCGAUAUCUACACCGAUGGACCUUAAUCAAGAAUUUUCAAAAUCCGAAUGUAAAGAUGACACAAUGAAAAAUGUACCCUAUCAAAAAGCAAUUGGUAGAUUAUUUGCUGUACAAUGCACACGUCCUGAUAUAAGUCAAGCUGUACAUUUUUUAAGUAAAUUUAAUAAAGAUCCUUCAUUGAAUUCAUUGGACAGCUGUGAAACGUAUUUUUCGAUAUUUGAAAGCAACUACUUAUUACAAGUUACAUUUUUAUACUAAUGGUAAUUAUAAUCUUAUUUCGUACACUGAUUCUGACUGGGGUAAUGAUUUGGAAGAUCGAAGAUCAGUUACUGGUUACGUUAAUUUAUUACAAAAUGCAGCAAUAUCCUAAAAUAGCAAUCGACAGCCAACCAUUGCAUUAUUUACAACUGAGGCCGAAUAUAUGACGUUAUCGGCAACAGUACAAGAAAUCAUGUGGCUAAGAAUGCUGUAAAAUGAACUUAAUUUUGAAUUUAAUGAUCAAAUUCCUACUAACGUAUAUUAUGACAACCAAAGUGCAAUAAACAUAGCCUCGAAUGAAGUAUAUCAUCCAAGAAUCAAACAUAUUGAUAUAAGGCCCCAUUACAUAUGAGAAAAACGUCAAUCAAAUGAAGUUUCGUUUGUUGGAAUAUCUUCAAAUGAUCAACUUGCUGCUUUUUUGACUAAACCCGUUUCCAAGGGAAAACGUUUAAAUCUGUUGUAAAUUUUUGGGAUUGCUAUAAAGUAGAUUUCGAUUUUAACUUGUUCGAAAUGUAUAAAGCGAAAUCAUACUUAACUUUGUAAUUUGUUCUAUGUCAAUUAGACAAUUUUCAAUGAAAUAUUAUUCAUAUUUUCUUUGCUCAACUAAAAAUAAUAAAUGAUAGAAGAAUUA
rnacentral:lncRNA from 1 species